AUAGUAUAUGAUGCAGUGUUUUAUCCAGUAACUGAGAAUGGUGCUCAAUAUGUUUUAUUUAAAGACAAUGUAUUUCUAAUUGAUGUUAUUGCAUCUCAGUCUAUCAGCACUGAAGCAAGCCUUGCUCUACUUUCCUUAACAUAUAUUAAACAGAUACGAUCCUCCAUGAAAAGUCCCUUAGAGCAUCUCCCUGCAGUAAAUCUGCUUUUCUCCAUACGUGCUUGUUAAUUAGCUCUGUUCCAUAUCUUGCUGUGUGUUUCUAAUGCCAAACAGAUCUCAUGUCCUCCCUCUCUCUCUCUCCCAGCACUGUCCAGAGCUGUACGAGAGCUAAUUGGCAGCUCGCUUGCCUGCCGCGACGGUGAUCAUGCAAAUGUAUUGGUGCUUACCAAUAGCCGGGCCCAUCAAAACAUUACGACGGCCAUUACCCAGAGCUGGGGCUGGCCUAACGAACAUAUGCUCCCCCGCCCGACAACCUCCCCCCAAUUCCUAAACUCUUAUUUAUGUGUUUAAUUUAAUGUGCGAGGGAAGAAUUUCCGAAAUUAAAUUUGGUUUUCGUUGGUGCCUCAAGAGAGUGGCAGCGUUAUAAUAACAUGGUAAUUUUUUACACGUCUUUAUGAGAAAUGAGAAAAUUAAUUCUUUCUGACAAGCUGUAAUUAUUGGGCUUGGAACAGUUGCAGCUGAACAGUUUGGGCUGUGGUAGCCUGGCAGUGAGCUGAAAGAGGGAGAGAGAGAGAGAAAAGGGGGGUGGAGGAGAGAGAGAAUGGAAACACAGUGAGACCGAAAGGGAGAGAAAGAGUUUAGUAGUGAAGCCAGAAUUGUAUACAGGGACAAAGUUGAAAGAAAUGAAGAAAAAAAGAGGACAAGCUGAAAGAUGUAAGGUGAAGAUAAAAGGGGCAGAGUUGGUUCAGUCAGGAUAAAUACGAGUAGGCACAGGAGGUGAGGGUUGGGUGAAAAAUGGAGAGAAGAGAAGUUGAUGAAAUUAGAAGAAAAAGACGAAACAAAAGGGCGAGGGUUAGAGGAAAAAAACAGCAGCAGCGUGAUCAGCUGGAUAGUAGCAUAGUAUAGAUGAGGGGAGAAGGGCAGAGUGUGCAUGCUUUGGAGGGAUAAGUUGAGAGGAGACAAGGUUAUAAGAAGUUAUGAUAGAGGGGGUUGAAAGUGGAAGAAGAUGGAGUUAAUGCAGAGCACUCGAGGUUAGACAAAAGGAAGAAAUAGAAGGUAAGCGGUAGUAGGUGAUGAAGAGUAAAAGAUAUGAUGGUGAUACAAUACAGGAGAGAAGAUGAGGAUGAAAGGCAAAAAGGAAUGUGGAUGGGGAGGGAAGGAAUGUGAGGAGGACAGGUUGGAUUAAAGAAAGAAAAGCAGAAGAUUUACUGAGGAGAAAGUAGAAUGCUAGUAGUAGCUAAUGGUUCAGCAGGUGUGAGGAAAGAAGGGAAUGGGUUGAUGAUGUGUGUGAGCACGCAGUGUUUGGUUGGGAGGGAUAAGAGUUGUUUGACAAACUCAAGAGAAGAAGAGUUAUGAAUCACUGGAGAGGUACACAGAUGGCACAGUAUGAGGGACGGGAGGUACUGAUGGAGGUGGAGGAGGGCGUUGCGUUAAAGGAAAGAAAAAGACAGGAACGGGAUAGAAUAUAGGAGUCGGGAGAGGGGUGGAGAUGGAAGGUAUUGUAAGGAGUCAUGUCUCGCUUUGUUAAAUCAGGCAGGAGUUCCUGUCUUCUUAUAUGAUGUCAUCAGAGGAAGCUCCUCUACAGCAUCAGCAGCGCCGUCUGUGUCAAGGUUAUAACACAUUAAUAUGCACAGUCUACAGCCGCCUGGCCUCACUCCAGG
ensembl:lncRNA